AGGACGAACGCUGGCGGCGUGCCUAAAACAUGCAAGUCGAGCGAGAUCCAUCCGGUGGUAACACUGGUGAAGAUCUAGCGGCGAACGGGUGAGUAACACGUGAGCAACCUGCCCCGAAGUCUGGGAUAACUCGAGGAAACUCGGGCUAAUACCGGAUGUCGUCAUCGGACCGCAUGGUCUGAUGCCGAAAGAUUUAUCGCUUCGGGAGGGGCUCGCGUCCUAUCAGCUUGUGGUGAGGUACGCUCACAGGCUUCGACGGUGCUGGUCUGGAGAGGACGAUCAGCCACACGUGGGACUGGAGAUACCGGCCCAAGCCUCCGUACGGGAGCAGCAGUUAGAAUCGUUGCGCUAAGUGGGACGAAGCCUAGACGCACGACAACGCCGACGGUGGACGGGAA
rnacentral:rRNA from 1 species